rnacentral:rRNA from 1 species
GGGGAAUAUUCGCACAAUGGGCGCAAGCCUGAUGCAGCCAUGGCCGCGUGUAUGAAGAAGGCCUUCGGGUUGUAAAGUACUUUCAGCAGUGAGGAAGGUGGGUAUGUUAAUAGCAUAUUCAUUUGACGUUAGCUGCAGAAGAAGCACCGGCUAACUCCGUGCCAGCAGCCGCGGUAAUACGGAGGGUGCGAGCGUUAAUCGGAAUUACUGGGCGUAAAGCGCAUGCAGGUGGUUUGUUAAGUCAGAUGUGAAAGCCCGGGGCUCAACCUCGGAAUUGCAUUUGAAACUGGCAAACUAGAGUACUGUAGAGGGGGUAGAAUUUCAGGUGUAGCGGUGAAAUGCGUAGAGAUCUGAAGGAAUACCGGUGGCGAAGGCGGCCCCCUGGACAGAUACUGACACUCAGAUGCGAAAGCGUGGGGAGCAAACAGGAUUAGAUACCCUGGUG